CUUGGUCAGGACGAACGCUGGCGGCGUGCCUAAUACAUGCAAGUCGAACGGUCUUUCUAUGGAAGCUUGCUUCCACUGAGAAGAUAGUGGCGAACGGGUGAGUAACACGUGGGUAACCUGCCCAUAAGAGGGGGAUAACAUCCGGAAACGGGUGCUAAUACCGCAUAGUUUUCUUGAUCGCAUGAUUGAGAAAGGAAAGACGGCCUUUGUGCUGUCGCUUAUGGAUGGACCCGCGGCGUAUUAGUUAGUUGGUGAGGUAACGGCUCACCAAGACGAUGAUACGUAGCCGACCUGAGAGGGUGAUCGGCCACAUUGGGACUGAGACACGGCCCAAACUCCUACGGGAGGCAGCAGUAGGGAAUCUUCCGCAAUGGACGAAAGUCUGACGGAGCAACGCCGCGUGAGUGAAGAAAGGGUUUUCGGAUCGUAAAACUCUGUUGUCAGAGAAGAACAAGUUGGAGAGUAACUGCUCCAGCCUUGACGGUAUCUGACCAGAAAGCCACGGCUAACUACGUGCCAGCAGCGGC
rnacentral:rRNA from 1 species